CUAACUAUCCUUUCAGGUAUCAUUUAUAUAAUUCAUUACUGGCGAAGUUUCCUUGACUUGUAGAGCACCCGAGACCAUGAGGAGGAGACAUAGCAUUCCCUCCUGAGUGUGAAGACGGUUCUAGGUGCCACUUUCCUGGAGCUGCCUCUUUCAACUAAGGAUCGUUCUUCUCUCCCUUUGGGAGAGGGAGAGGGAGGGAAAAAAGAA
rnacentral:snoRNA from 1 species